AGUGAACGCUGGCGGUAGGCCUAACACAUGCAAGUCGAACGGCAGCACAGUAAGAGCUUGCUCUUACGGGUGGCGAGUGGCGGACGGGUGAGGAAUACAUCGGAAUCUACUUUUUCGUGGGGAUAACGUAGGGAAACUUACGCUAAUACCGCAUACGACCUACGGGUGAAAGCAGGGGAUCUUCGGACCUUGCGCGAUUGAAUGAGCCGAUGUCGGAUUAGCUAGUUGGCGGGGUAAAGGCCCACCAAGGCGACGAUCCGUAGCUGGUCUGAGAGGAUGAUCAGCCACACUGGAACUGAGACACGGUCCAGACUCCUACGGGAGGCAGCAGUGGGGAAUAUUGGACAAUGGGCGCAAGCCUGAUCCAGCCAUACCGCGU
rnacentral:rRNA from 1 species